rnacentral:tRNA from 3 species
GCCGAGGUGAUGAAAUUGGAAAACAUGCACGACUCAAAAUCGUGUGGCGCAAGCCUUGAGGGUUCGAGUCCCUCCCUCGGCACCA